CUAAUUCAUGCUUUUUUUAUAUAGCCCUAUUGACUUCAGUGGAAGUGUUUGUGCAGAAAGGAACAUUCAGCUACUUCACACCAAUGAAAGCAGAAAGCAACAGGUGCUGCUGGAGUAUUUCACAAUGGUGUAUCUGGGAGAGUUGUGACUGGGGAGAAGGCAAGGAGAUUCAUUGGAGACCUGAAGACCCCAAGGCUGAAAGAGAAGUUUUUAAAGAAGGUGCAAACAAGAUUUUCUCCGUAGGGAAGGAACAUGAUCAUGUACUGUGUCAAGAAGACAGCAUUGAGCCAACCAAGGAGGAGAGCAGCCAUCUCCGUGAGCCUUCCUGUCCAUCUUGUGCCUGCAGCCCCAGGCUCUCAGUGCAGUGAUGAGCAGUGGCCGCAGCGGAUGCUGUAUCUGUGUGCGUUGGCAGCACGGCUGCUCCUGGAGCCAUAAAUCCUUUGCUGCGGUGGCUGAGUCACUCUCAUACUUUCCUUUCGCAGAGGUACAGCAAAUAGGAGAUAAAUAAACACCAGCAGCCCUGCUGAAAGGUUCCCACCUUCCUGAGGAUCAGGUUAAAUGCUGCUGGGUGGCAGGAUUGCCUUUUCUGUGUGUCUCCCUCCUUGUGACCAAGAGGGGCAAAAAUCCUGUGGCCACAACCACUCUCCAUCCAAGCAGGAUCGGACAGCAUGGGCACAACAAGGGUUGCAACACUGAAAUGAUCCCACAGCACAUCUCUGCUAUCUGGGUCUGAUAACAGUCUCAUGCACUGUCCCUCUUCUCACAGAGCUACUGUGCAGUAAGAAAGUGCUGGGGUUUUUGGAGAAGAAACAUUACAUGCAAGUUCAUCUCCAUAGGAUAAGUAAUUAUAAUGUUGUCUGCUGGUGCCUGUGGGGACAGCAGUGCAUUUCUUGGCAGCUUUCAUGUGUUGUUCAAGGCAGAUUUCCUGCAUAGAUCCAGGCUCUGGCAGGCAGCCACAAGUGGGACGCAGAUGAAUGCGCCUGCUCAGGAAAUGAUAAAGGAACCAAGCAAAUGCUUUUGUUUGUGAAGCAGCAUCAUCUGGAGAGCCGUCAGAUCCUCUUCCAGAGGUGAGGCAUGGAAAUCACGAGCAGCUCCCAGCCUGUGCCACUCAUCAGGUGCUGGCAUGUGGAGCAAUAGGCAAAGCUCCCAGCCCAGCUGGAGAUCCCAUCCCAGCUUGGAUUUGGUGUCAGCCCAAAUCAAAUAGGAAUUUUCACCACCAUUUUGCUUGUUAGGACACUUUUCAUCUAAGUGCUUCUUACCUCACAUAAGGCAAGGGCUGAGCAUAAAAUGCAAAUGCAGGACAAUUCAAAGCCAUCAGCUUUCCCUGCCUGGUCACAGGGGAGUUAUCACAGCUGCAUGAAAUCUGCACUCACCAAGCCAGGGUGAGAGCAAGGGUAUCUGCUGACACUCCAAAGGGUCUUAAUGCACUGUCACCUCCUAAGUGGACCCCUUGGGCAUCUCUGUGAUGGGGAAGGGAGAUGGCCAGGAUUAUCAACCACUUUUAAUGAAACCAUUUCUGUAAAAGGUUGGGUUUUUUUGUUGUUGUUUUUUUUGGGGUUUUUUUUUUUUUUUUGCACAAAGCCAACCUUAGGAGAUCAAGGGAAUGAUCUUGGUAUGGAUGAGAUGAGAGAAAGAGAGUGCAGCUGCCACAAAGGCUAACAGCAUGGCAAGCAUUACAAAUCCACCUGCAGUUGACAGAGAAGAUCUGUUAGCAGAGAUGGGCUGGACAGUUUUCAGCAACGGGACAACACAUGAGACCCUGAGAUUAAAAGGUUUUUCACAUGUGGGAGAUGAGUUCACAGAAAAGAGUCACAGUGAGUUUCACAAAGCAGGCAUCCUCCAAGCAGUGAGCCCUGCAGCUCUGGCUUUGCACAAAAAGAGAAGGCACCCACCAGGCAAAGCAUUUUCCCAGGCAUGUUAGAUCCCAGUUAGUGGACAGCAUUGAUCUGACCACUCUCAGAGCAGAGAUCUUUCUGCACUGAUAUUUUGUCUUCAACUGGGAAGAGACUGGAAAAUAGAUGUAGAGAAAACUGACAGGAUUUUGAUGGCCACGGACAUUUCCCCAAGCUCACAGCACAUCUUCAUAGCCCAAGGAAAAUAACAGUGUAAAAUGUCUCCAUGUAGAAGGGAAGAAAUUUCUGUUAUUGAUUUUCUGGGACUGAAGCACCUGAGACAGAAGGAGAAAAAUGAGUUGUGCUCGUAAGCGGACGAGUCAGUGUCAAAUAAAUUCUUAUAAAGGUUUGGUAUACUUGGGGGUGAUAGAUUUUACUCAGAAACAUCCAGAUACAUUUUAAAGAACCUUGCAAAGUUUUUAUUCCUAGAACACAAGCAAAGAGAGUCCUUCUGGAUAAAACACUUACAUCUGACUGGAUCAAAAAGAGGGCUGAAUUCAUACGUGUUUUAUGAGGAAUAUCUGUACUGCACUUCUGUGUUACUAUAGUUUGAUGAUGGUCCAAAGGACUAAGCUGGCCCAGGUUGUCUCCAUGCUUUAGGGCAGUGAAAUCUUUUCUGCCUAAGCUUUGAUCUCUGUCUGGAGGCUUAUCAAGAGACCAAAACAGACAACAGAAAACUCCUGUAAAAUGCAUUCAGAGUACUAGAAUUUUGGAUUCUGCAUAUGCACAGCUCCAGCAGAUGAGCAAAUGACAGACAUAUUUAAAAAGAAGGGAUGGAGCAGGAAGGAGGAAAUUGAGCUGAUCUUUUUUUAUUUUAUUUUCAGACAUAAUGUUUUAAUAUUUUGUCUC